UCCAGAAAGGUCAGAAGAGACUGCAAGACUUGAGAUCGGGUGAGGUUAAACGUACUUCAGGGUAGGGGUAAAAUCCUGUAAUCCCGGAAGGACGACCAGUGGCGAAAGCGUUUAACUAGAACGAAUCUGACGGUAAGGAACGAAGGCUAGGGUAGCAAACCGGAUUAGAUACCCGGGUAGUCCUAGCUGUAAACAUUGCCCAUUUGAUGUUGCUUUCCCGUUGAGGGAAGGCAGUGUCGGAGCGGAGGUGUUAAAUGGGCCGCUUGGGAAGUAUGGUCGCAAGACUGAAACUUAAAGGAAUUGGCGGGGGAGCACCGCAACGGGAGGAAUGUGCGGUUUAAUUGGAUUCAACGCCGGAAAACUCACCGGGAACGACCUGUGCAUGAGAGUCAACUUGACGAGCUUACUCGAUAGCAGGAGAGGUGGUGCAUGGCCGUCGUCAGCUCGUACCGUAGGGCGUUCACUUAAGUGUGAUAACGAGCGAGAACCACAUCUUUAAUUGCAAAUGUAUAUGGGAA
rnacentral:rRNA from 1 species